UGCUGCAUGAUAAAUUGUUCAUAAAGCAAUUACUGCAUUUUGCAGGAGAAAGGAGGUUGUGUAUGAUAAAUGCUCAGCUAAGGGCAAUUUGCGAUGACCUGACUAGCAUUUUGUGUGUUGCAGCAAUCAGCCGUGUUUGAAACCACACACACACACACACACACACACACAUACACACACAAAUACCGUGAAGAGAGGUAAUGAUCCCACAGGUGGCUGUGUGCUAUCCUCUCCCUUUUCAGCAGACACUCUCUGCUCCAUUGCUUUUUGUCACGCACGCCAACUCUCUUUGUCUUCCCCUAAGCCCCACACUGAGCCCUGCUCCUCUGGACACGCUAAAAGGCUACAUACGUCUGUCACACUCUCUUUUUUGUCAGAGAGACAUACACAAAGUAUAUUUAGUGCUAGAAGAGACACUCAUCCAUGCAGAGGUGAGGGUAGGUGCUGACAAAUGGAUAAAAGUACUAAUGGAAAAGGAGAAAAAGAGGGACCUGCACGUUCUUCAUCGCUCCCAGUAUGUUUAUUAAAACUCUUCUUUCACUCUACCAAUGCACUGGGAGUAGAGAAGUCUGUGUGACACAUCUGCUGCUGUCUCUUUCUUUUCAGCCCCCGAAACUAUGCUACCUUCAAUCAAAUGGCACAAAAGCAGACAGUAAAAAGGAUAAAGUCAGAUUGAAAUCCAUUCUCCAUUCACUAUGCACAGCCUGUAGACAGGGGAGGUGCUUGACUUCAGUUCAAGGAUUCUCUGCAGACGGCUUAUUGCAGUCUGCUGGUUACCUGACUGAUACAAGAAGAAAACAGCAGGCAGCGGAGUGUUUUCCUGCCAGGCUCUCCAUCUCUCGAAUCGACUCUCCCUUGUGUGAUUAGGGAAGCAAAUUCUGUGGAAGCCUUAAAAUCCAAACUUACAAUUUAUCUAUUUUCACUUCCUGGCAGGGGAGUUUUACAGUUUCUACUGCGACCUCAGCUCAGACAGCAGUAAUGUAGAAACCUACUGUUUCUGCCUCCUGGUUACUGCAUCUCCACACUGUGUGUUUGCAUGGCUGAUUGUAUUUGUUCUGAGUGUGUGUUUG